rnacentral:rRNA from 1 species
CUAAGGAAUAUUUCCGGCAAUGGAGGAAACUCUGACGGAGCGACGCCGCGUGGAUGAUGAAGGUCGGAAGAUUGUAAAAUCCUUUUAUGACUGAGGAAUAAGUACGUUGAGAGAAACGGCGUAUGGUGACUGUAGGUCAUGAAUAAGCAACGGCUAAUUACGUGCCAGCAGCCGCGGUAACACGUAAGUUGCGAGCGUUGUUCGGAAUUAUUGGGCGUAAAGGGCAUGUAGGCGGUAUUGCAAGCCUGGUGUGAAAGGCAGGGGCUCAACCCCUGGACUGCGCUGGGAACUGCAUUACUAGAGUCGCUGAGGGGCAAUCAGAAUUCCAGGUG